CCUACGGGUGGCAGCAGUGAGGAAUAUUGGGCAAUGGGGGCAACCCUGACCCAGCCAUGCCGCGUGAGUGAAGAAGGUCUUCGGAUUGUAAAGCUCUUUCGGACGUGACGCUGAUGACGGUAGCGUUUAAAGAAGCACCGGCAAACUUCGUGCCAGCAGCCGCGGUUAUACGAAGGGUGCGAGCGUUGUUCGGAAUUACUGGGCGUAAAGGGAGUGUAGGCGGGUAUGUAAGAUAGGGGUGAAAUGCCGGGGCUCAACCCCGGAACUGCCAUUAUGACUGUGUAUCUAGAGUGAUGGAGAGGAAAGCGGAAUGCGUGGUGUAGAGGUGAAAUGCGUAGAUAUUGGGUAGAACACCGAUGGCGAAGGUAGCUAUCUGGCCAUUUACUGACGCUGAGGCUCGAAAGCAUGGGGAUCAAACAGGAUUAGAUACCCGAGUAGUC
rnacentral:rRNA from 1 species